UGUGUCCAUCAACUGAGGGGAAAGUCGGAGGAGAGUCAGGCAGUCCUUGGCCCUCGCAACUUGGUACAGAAGAAGGUACAGGAGCUUCAGGAUCCUGCGCUGGCAUUUUGGGAGAUGUUUCUCCUCCUGGUGUAGCCAGUGUCAUUGUUGGCUACCCUCUGGACACAGUCAAGACUCGCCUGCAGGCUGGUGUCGGCUAUGCAAACACCUUCAACUGCAUCCGCAUGGUGUACAAGAGGGAGAGUGUUUUCGGCUUCUUCAAGGGCAUGUCCUUCCCCCUGGCCAGCGUUGCCAUCUAUAACUCGGUGGUGUUCGGGGUCUUCAGCAACACUCAGCGGUUCCUUAGCCAGUACCGCUGUAGGGAAUUGGAGGAUUGCCCUGGCCGAAGUCUGUCUGAUCUGCUCCUGGCUAGCAUGGUGACUGGUAUGGUCUCUGUUGGUCUGGGCGGGCCCGUGGACCUCAUCAAGAUCAGACUGCAGAUGCAAACACAGCCAUUUCAGGAAGCCAGCCACGGAUUGAAGUCCAGGGCAGUGGCAGCUUACCAGGGACCGGUGCACUGCUUUGCAACCAUUGUGCGGACAGAGGGCCUGACAGGACUGUACCGGGGAGCCAGCGCCAUGCUGUUAAGGGACAUCCCAGGAUAUUGCUUCUACUUUAUUCCCUAUGUGUUCCUAAGUGACUGGAUCACACCUGAGGCCUGCACGGGGCCCAGCCCCUACGGAGUGUGGCUGGCAGGAGGCAUUGCUGGGGCAAUUUCCUGGGGGACAGCAACACCGAUGGAUGUCGUGAAAAGCCGAAUCCAAGCUGAUGGGGUCUAUUUAAACAAAUACAGGGGAGUCCUGGACUGCAUCUCCCAGAGUUACCAGCAAGAAGGCUUUAAGGUCUUUUUCAGGGGCAUCACUGUGAAUGCUGUACGCGGCUUUCCCAUGAGUGCGGCCAUGUUCCUCGGGUACGAGCUCUCACUGAAGGCACUCCGUGGCGACCACACCGUAAGAAACAAAUGAGCGAUCAGGAAAACACAGAAACAACAGAAAGAGUAAAGCAAGAAUCCCUGUGUUCACCGUAAGGUCCAGCUGCAGCCUGAAACCCAGAGCUGGCUUUGUACAGGACAGCCACCGCCAUCCUGCCUAAUGGCCCAGAACCACGUCCACGUCCCGUGGUUAACUCUUCAGCUACAAAAUGGCUUUGGAACACAGACCUCAGAUCCCGGAGUGACUGGGCACUUGUCCUAGCUGUCGUACUAGGCCGCUCUUGGCCACUGGCUCUUUAAGGAGGCUGGGGGAAGUUACCAGAGAGCCAACUCGUGGCAUCUGAGAGCUGUAGCUGAGCCCGCCAGAACUUUGCUUUCUGAAUGUCUUUUCUCUUGCAAAGGGCUGGGAAACACGUCUCCUUAGGAAAAAAACCAAAAACAAACCAAAAAAAUCCCUCUAAGGGCAGUAAUGGGGUUGGGGAAUAGGAAGACGCUACCUCAGUUGGGAAGGAGUGACCCCAGCAGCAUUGUCUGGAACAAGGUGUUUAAUAUCCUGCUCUAACCAGGAGCCAUGGACCCCAGGUCCUCUAGCAAGCCUGGCUUUUAACUUACAAAGGUUUGGAGCAGGCCACAGUCUAUGUGGCAGAGUCACGAACUCUCUGAAGACGUGAACAACAAUGCCAGCCUUCUCAUCUGGUCCCCCAAAUGGAGGAGACAGUGUAUCUCAGAUAACCCUGGAACACUCACAGCAGGCCCUAAGAAAUGGUGGGAUGAGGACUGUCUCCAGAGGCCCAGGCACAAGGGUCAAUAAAAAUCCUUUCAGAAUAUAUGCCUAGCAUGGAGGGCACAGUUCCCUAGAGGUUUGGGGAGGCGGCACCUUCCUUCCCAUCUGCCCCUAGUUUUGUUUCCUUCUGUGGUACUCAUAGCAGAGAGGUGAAACUCAGUGAGAACCCUGUGGGGCGGUUAUUUUGUCAUGGGGAUGGCUUGAGGAAGAAGGUCGCAGUCACUCGUAAGCCGUCCUCAGGUUUCCUCGUGAGUCAUCAGCCCCUUCCCCUUCAGGAUCCUGGUACCAGAACCCUCCUAGAACAGAGCUGUUCUAUCCUCUGACCUGGUGUGUGUACUCCAGACCUGGGAGCCUACUUUCUGUUUACAAGGCGCUUCAUAACCAAAGAAAGGAGAUGCGUUCUUCCCGUGACACCUCGUUUGAGCAUUUACAAACAAUCCCAGACAGCCUUCCUGACCGACUGUGGCACAAGACCCAUCUCCAUGUGGGUGUGUCCAAGCCUAGAUCCUGCUGGCCACAACUCAAAAAGAGCAUUCUUUAUGCACCCUCUCUCCUCUCUGCGCCACCGUAAUCUGAGCAGGCCUCACCCCGCUGCAGGCUGCGAUUGCAGCGCCCGUAGAGCCAGCAAGGGUGCAUUACUGGAGAGUAGGAAGACCCAGCCGUCUCCGUCCGGUGCCAGGUGGGACACAGCCAUCAUCCCGAGCUUCGAGUCCCUUCCUUCAUGACUGCAGACUUUCUCUCCAGAGUCCAAGUGCUGGUGGGAAACAGCAGACCAUACAUGGGUCAGGCAGCCAUCAUCUCUUUCAGCUCUGGGUUAGAACCUGAGAAAGAGAGGCAAAAACAUUCUGUGCCCACGGAUGUUGGAAACCCAGCAUAGACUUGCACUCCUCAAUCAAAAGCACAGAAAAGUCCUUAGGGUUGUUUCUGUAUACGUAGCGCCCUACCUGACUUCUGAGAGACCUUGGUCACCCUCCUCUCUCUUCAGUUUAGGUCUUUGGAGAUGCUGCCAGAAGAAACCAGCUUAACUAAGAGGGGUGGGGAGGUUAGCAUGUGUCAUUUUCUUCGUGGUCCUCAAGUUGGGAAGGGAGGGUUCAGUGUCUGGAAAGAAACAUACAGGGGAGGAAAAUCCAAAGAUUUGCUCCCAAGCCUGAGCGGGUGAUGUGUUGGUGUCAUGCCUGAGCCGCAGAUGGCAGCCAGAGCUCACAGGGGCGGGUGUUCUGUGGGCGUGACUUCUACGUGGAAAUCCCAAUAAAAUGCAGUCUGCUUCCCAGUGUGACUUUGUGCUUCUACCUUACCACCUAUGGGAGCCACAUAGGAGAUAACCUUGCUCUUCCGUGGCGCGCGUCCAUGAUGUCACUUCCGGCUCUGCGCCUGCAGCAGCCACGCCUACUGCACCCCAGAGCCCUUCUCAGCACACUGCUGAAUGUGGCUUCAGAGUCCUGCCUCACAUUGUCACCUGCGCAGUCGCCACCAGCCAAGCAGAAAUGUGGUCCAGGGUGGUCUUAAACCCCAGUGAGGGAACUGUCUUCACAGCCAUGUAAAAAACAAACGUUUUAAGAUCUUCCUUGGUUUGCCCCAAACCAAGCACCAAAUCACAACUGCCCCCUAGAGGCCGACAUGACCAUUUUCAGUGUAGAUCACAGGUGCUUCCUCAGAAUGCUCUCCAAGCCCACCCUUCACAGCUCUUGAAGCUCAAAGUCCCUUGGCUAGAUCUGAGCCGAUGGGCUUGUGGUCACUUAGUGAUCACCUGUGUUGAGCCCCUGCUGUGUGCAGGCACCGACUCAAGGGAAGAGUGGAGGAGCUCCGGCAAAGCUUUCGUGCUAGUUUACUAGACUCCUUAACAGGAAGAGGCUGGCCCAACCCCCACUUCAGCAUCACGGGCAGGUACUGAGGGUCUUGGUGAGGUGCUGUGCUCCUGGUAUGUUACAGGAUGGACCCAGAGUGCCUCCUCUAUCCCAUCCCAGGAUGUGUCAAGCAGGCAUGCACUAGUGCCUGCCUAGGCUGCACAGUUGGGUUGAAGGAGUGGUAUUUUCAGAGGCCAAUCAGGAUCUCCCAUUGUGUACUCCUGGCUAGGCAGAGAGUUCACUCCUCUGUAGUGAAUGACUAAGGGGCAGUUGGAAGCCCUUCUGCUUGUCUGUGACAUCACGUGCUGUACAGUCCUUAGGAAAACCCGUGUGCUCAUGAGAAAACGAGAGUGGAGAGGAAGGUGGUAUCUUAGAGUCAUUGGAAGUUAGUUUUCAGUCUUGCCGGUCGCUUUGAGGACCGGAAACAUUAUUUCUCAAAAGCCUGUUUGGCUGAUAUGCCAUAGAAUUGCCACUUGGUGGCAGCAGAGUGUCAACUAAAUCCUGAGGGUGCCUGCUAGCUGGUGACUGUUCUGGGAGCGCUUGGGUCCUGGGCACUUCCCUCCCAAUCUUUGUUCUCGGUGCCCCAGGGUGUGGUCCUUCCCUUGGGUUUCAACCUCGGUGUCUAUCUGCAUGAUCUCGACACGUUCUGCUGCUUGGGCUUAAGUUCUCCUCGUCUGUAAAAAAAAACCACAGUCUUCCUCUCUGAUCCGGGGCUGUUAGCUUUUGUCUGGAGGUUGACAAAGGGUGGCUGGGUCUGUGUACCCUGGGCCCGGACCAUGUGAAACUCUGAGCAUCAUAACUGCUCCUUUGUGUCUUCAUAAGCAUGCUUUGGAAUGGGAUAGAUGCCGAUACUGAAUAGAUCUUCGCAUGCUCCGGACACAGGAUGGGCUAUUGGUCCGUGUUCUAACUCCCAGAAUCCUCUCUGCUAAGCUGUUGUCAAAGAAGAUUCCGGAAGCACGUGAUUCAGUUGUGAAGUCCAGGGAGCUGUACAUCCAGAGAAACUUGGACGUUGAUGCCACAUCUGAGUCGUUGUACUAGCGCCAUCCUCUGCUCGCUGUAUGCAUCUAGUCAUUUCCUUUCAGCAGAACCAGGAGUGGGAUUGUAAAUUCUCUGGCCAGUCUGAUCUUCAUCCUUCGAAAUGUUGACACUAAGCUCUCUGUACUGAUCUGCUUUCCCACCAAUGGCGCCCAAGUUCUACCCGCCUCUCACCAGUCAACAUUUACUACUUAAAAAAAAUAAUAGCAGUUUUGAAUGGGAUGAGAUUAUCAAGUAAAGGAAAUCAGAGGCAUACAAAUAGGAAGAGAAGGAAUUCAAUCACCUGUUAUGAAAUGACAUGAUGUAUAGACUUAAAAAAUCAGAACUCUACAAACUCCACCAAAAGACCCAGGUAAAGGAAUUCAGUGAAACUGGAGGAUAUAAAAAUCCUUCAUAAUCCAACAUAAAAGCCAGCCGUAUUUUAUACACUGAUAAUGAACUUCCUCGGAAGAUAUGAGAGGCAUUCUAUCUAUUCACAACUGCAGCAAAAGUAAGGUUAAAGAAGACAAGAUAAAUGCCCCGGGAUGAGCCAGGAGUGGCAGUGCAAAUCCCUAGUGCCUGCUACCUGGGAUGCCGAGAGGACAAGAUGGUGCAACCAUUCAGGGCCAGCAACACACGAAGCCCCAGAGGCUAGAAACAAAUUCAACCGAAGAAAUAACAUCAAGUCCUGAAGUGAAAAUUACAAACCACCGAUAACAGAAACCAAAGACGCCCUGUGUACACACAAGGGAAACCGCCGCGUAUGCCUGUGCACUGAGAAAAUGAAUGUAUUUAAAAUGUCUACACUACCCAAAGUAGUUUAUAGGUUUAAUGCAAUUUCCAUCCAAAUACCAAAGUCAUUCUUACAGAAAUAGGCGGAACACAGAUUCUAAAUUCAUUAAGUGCUCAGCAACCACUGACUAAAUGAUCGAUAAAUUUGCUCUUGUUAUACUCGUGUGUGUGUGUGUGUGGGGGUGUGUGUGUGUGCACGCGCGCGCGUGUUUUACUUGAUAUCUCAUCCCACUCAGAAUUGCUAUAAUAAAAAACAAGUAUUACUAUAAA